rnacentral:rRNA from 1 species
CUCCUACGGGAGGCAGCAGUGGGGAAUAUUGCACAAUGGGGGAAACCCUGAUGCAGCCAUGCCGCGUGUGUGAAGAAGGCCUUCGGGUUGUAAAGCACUUUCAGUAGGGAGGAAGGUAGUGUAGUUAACACCUGCAUUAUUUGACGUUACCUACAGAAGAAGCACCGGCUAACUCCGUGCCAGCAGCCGCGGUAAUACGGAGGGUGCGAGCGUUAAUCGGAAUUACUGGGCGUAAAGCGCAUGCAGGCGGCCUGUUAAGUCAGAUGUGAAAGCCCGGGGCUUAACCUCGGAAUUGCAUUUGAAACUGGCAGGCUAGAGUCUUGUAGAGGGGGUAGAAUUUCAGGUGUAGCGGUGAAAUGCGUAGAGAUCUGAAGGAAUACCAGUGGCGAAGGCGGCCCCCUGGACAAAGACUGACGCUCAGAUGCGAAAGCGUGGGGAGCAAACAGGAUUAGAUACCCUGGUAG